AAUUUACCUCUAUUUUAAAAUUUUUUUUUUUCUCGUUUAGGAAUUUGGGAUUUUGAUUCGAUGAAAUUACUCAAAUUUACGGGGAGGGAUAUUGAACUUGAGUGCAAAGAGAGUAUGAACUUCCAGCAUACAGCUAGAAUUUUUGGGCAACAAUCCUACUAUGAAUUCGAGAUCACUGGAAAAGAGACUUUGCUUGCACGCCUGCAUUUCUUCCUUUUCUCUUCCUCCUUAAGUAAUCCGGCCGUAGCUGUUUUUGAUGUUUCGCCUUUUCAAGCAGUUUUUGAUGUAUCAAAUUCUGAGUUCAAACUUUGAGUAAUGUCUCUGCUAAGAAUAGUAGCCAGUCUCCUAUGACAGAGGAGUUCUUUCUCGGCAGUGACCCUGGCUUGUUAAAAAUAUAUUUUACUCCUCAAGCAUCAUCUUUUACUCCUCAACCUUGAGAAUUACAGCCGUAGUUUCCCCUUAGUUCUGCAUACAACUUAAAAGGGUAAAUGUUGACGGGCAGGAAGUCACCGGAUACUGACAGAAGAUGGAGAAACUGGGACAAUGUGUCUAGCAUACCUAUUGAUGUCAAAGAAGUGAAAACCCGGACAAGGUGUCUAGCAUUCCUACCGACAUUAAAAGACCAGGUGCUAGGACAGAGUCUAUAAUAGAACAGCCUUUCAAAAUGGACUGAAAAUGUUGGAAAUAAUGGAGGGAUCAGCUCCGAUAUCAAAUGUCAAAGAGUACAAAUGUUGCUGUUGUGGUGGGAGAUAAUGGAGGGUUCAAUUGUGGUUGGUUUAGUGAGACGGUUGAGAAAUGUCUGCGAAAGAUACUCGCGAUAGGCCUACAAUGGGGCAUAUGCUGUGGGACUUGGUUUAGUGACCAUCCACAUCACUAUCCACUUGACAAGCUCUGACACUUGGCUUGGGCUUACAUGAACGUGUAUCGUAGUUUGCAUGAUUUGUAAACGACAACAAUGUGGUGUCAAAGCUUGACGCGGUGAAUACGCAUGUGCUUGGUGUGAUUGUAAAUAUUCUCAAUUUUGUACCUUCGCAUGUAUUUACUCUUGGCUUGGGCUUUGAGACGUUUUUAGGCUU